rnacentral:tRNA from 1 species
GCGUUCGUAGCUCAGCUGGAUAGAGCAUUGGCUUGCGGAGCCAAGGGUCACAGGUUCGAAUCCUGUCGAGCGCACCA